AUUUUUUAGUCAUAAUGAUUUUGAAUUGCAAAUUCAAAGGUAACUCUAGUUAAAAAUUUU
rnacentral:tRNA from 1 species